UUCUACUAAUUGAAGCCGGUGAGUUGGUGUAUGCUUGAAGUGAGUCUGGUUCUUGCUUCAAUUCCCCCUGUUUCACCUCCAGAUCUACUCAUCGGGAGAUGGAUUCCUUGCAUUGAGAGGCUGGUCUGACGCUGUUGUUGAUAAUCAUCCAUACCUAUGCUGGACGUGGACGAAGUACACACAUGUACACGCAGCUUUUUUUUGAUCCGUUGCAUAUCAAAGCUUCAUUCAGACGAUGGACUGUCUUGCUCUACUUCGAAAUCGAAACAGGUGAGUCGUGUCCUUUUUAGGAUUGAACCAACUGAAGUGAAACCAAGAUACAGUUUCUGCAGCACUUAUGAGCAAAUUGUACAGGGGAAAGACAGGCGGCUGCUGCAGAACAAGGGAAGGAGUAGCAGCUAUCUGCUGUUUCAGUUGUUUAUGUGCGCUGAAGAUUGUUCGCACCCGUACCCUGAAGAAAGAAGGCAAAAUAAUCCAUAACUAUUUCUUGAUAAUAAAGUACAUAGACAUAGAUAUAUAGCUCAUUGGCUCCAUCACGUUAGUUUGCUAAAUAAGUUAUAUGGAUCCUUGCAGACACAAGAUAGAUUCUAGAUAUACCUGGGAUAUGUUCAUCCGGGUUCAGUUAAUAAGUGCAUUAGUCAACAUUGUGGUGCAAUGACAGAAUCUGUUGUCCACAACUUC